GGCCGUGGAAGACCCGCGCAGUGCAAGACGGCUCCCACCGCGUCCAUGCAGUGGCCCCUGGGGCCCGUCGUGUCCCAGACAGCAGCUCCAGACGGUCACGGGUCACUGCAGCGUCCCUAAGCUAUUCUCUACGCAGCCGGCCGUCCACUGGGUACCACUGGUUAAAAUGACACCUAGGUCCAGGCUUUCAUCAAGAAAAUUCACAGACAGAACCAUGGAAGCCACUCUGCUCCUCAGAGUUAGAAUAAAAUCGUUUAAAACUUU